UACGGAGGGGGUUAGCGUUGUUCGGAAUGACUAGGCGUAAAGCGCGCGUAGGCGGAUCAGGAAGUUGGGGGUGAAAUCCCGGGGCUCAACCCCGGAAUGGCCUUCAAAACUCCUGGUCUUGAGUUCGAGAGAGGUGAGUGGAAUUCCGAGUGUAGAGGUGAAAUUCGUAGAUAUUCGGAGGAACACCAGUGGCGAAGGCGGCUCACUGGCUCGACACUGACGCUGAGGUGCGAAAGCGUGGGGAGCAAACAGG
rnacentral:rRNA from 1 species